CUACGGGAGGCUGCAGUGAGGAAUUUUGCGCAAUGGGGGAAACCCUGACGCAGCAACGCCGCGUGAGUGAAGAAGGCCCUUGGGUAGUAAAGCUCUGUCAAUGGGGAAGAAGUUAUUAUGUGUUAAUAGCACAUUUUAUUGACGGUACCCAUGAAGGAAGCACCGGCUAACUCCGUGCCAGCAGCCGCGGUAAUACGGGGGGUGCAAGCGUUAUUCGGAAUUAUUGGGCGUAAAGGGCACGCAGGCGGUCCUGUCAGUCAGAUGUGAAAGCCCGGGGCUCAACCCCGGACGUGCAUUUGAACAGCAGGACUUGAGUACGGGAGAGGAAAGGGGAAUUCCUGGUGUAGAGGUGAAAUUCGUAGAUAUCAGGAGGAACACCGGUGGCGAAGGCGCCUUUCUGGACCGAUACUGACGCUGAGGUGCGAAGGCGUGGGUAGCGAACGGGAUUAGAUACCCGCGUAGUC
rnacentral:rRNA from 1 species